rnacentral:rRNA from 1 species
AGAGAGUGGCGAACGGGUGAGUAACACGUGAGAAACCUACCCCAGAGACCGGGAUAACUAUCGGAAACGAUAGCUAAUACCGGAUAUCCCCUUCGGACCGCAUGGUCUGAUGUGGAAAUGCUCCGGCGCUCUGGGAGGGUCUCGCGGCCUAUCAGUUAGUUGGUGGGGUAAUGGCCCACCAAGGCAACGACGGGUAGCUGGUCUGAGAGGAUGGUCAGCCACACUGGGACUGAGACACGGCCCAGACUCC